rnacentral:rRNA from 1 species
UAGCGUAGGGGCUAGCGUUGUCCGGAAUCGAUUGGGCGUAAAGCGCGCGUAGGCGGAUUGUUAAGUCAGGGGUGAAAUCCCGGAGCUCAACUCCGGAACUGCCUUUGAUACUGGCAAUCUUGAGGCUGGAAGAGGUUAGUGGAAUUCCCAGUGUAGAGGUGAAAUUCGUAGAUAUUGGGAAGAACACCAGUGGCGAAGGCGGCUAACUGGUCCAGAUCUGACGCUGAGGUGCGAAAGCGUGGGGAGCAAACAGG